CUUUAAGAGAUUUUUAAAAGUUUCUGUUAUAUUUUUAAUGCCACUCAUUAACCUUUUGAAGAGUUGAACAAUCUAUCUGUCACACCCCAAUGGCCCCCUUCCUCAGGGAGUCUCUGGGGAAGGCAGAUCAGCAUUGUAUGUGGCUAACACUGUUGCAAGUAUCGCAAAUCAUUUUGGGGAGGGUCAAAGGUGUGUGAGUGGAGAGUGGAAGUUUCCUUUGCAGAAUACGAGAGGCUGGGGGGGGGGGAAGAAGAAGAGCAGAGAACAGGUUAACUCAACACUUCAGCUAGCUCAGUGUGAAGAUAAGACCCUGGCCCUGGCCCAAGGUCAUGGGCUUGACGAGAAAUCAGCAGCUGCCCAGCCGUGAGAAGAGGAGAACUAAGUUGAGCAGAGCUGCAGAGAUAGCAGCAAGAACAGCGAGAGCAAAUGAGACAGCGACAGUGAAGGCCAAUAGAAGGGAAAACAAACUCUCUGGAGCCGGGAUGUUUUGGGAAACCGAGGAGGCCACAGCAAGCCGGUUUGGACUGGCACAAAAGGCACCAGAAGCAGAGGGCCCUGAGUGGAAUUACUGCCCCCCCACCCCACUCCCAGGAGCCCAGGACUUAAAACCCUCCUGAGAGCUGGAGCAACUCGGAGAUCAACAGCGGAUCCUCGGAUGACCUGGGCCCCGGACACCACUCCCGUCCACCCUUCCUCUCCUCUUCUUCUAACAUUACACCCAGGCCUGGACAGACUAAGAGGAUGGAAUGGCUCCAUGAUACAAGGUGCACUCUGACCCCAACUCAGGAAAGCACUUGAGCAUAGGCUUAAUUUUGAGCAGUAUGUCUGCAAGGACUAUGCGCAAGCUGAGAGACUGGGCAUCCUUUGAGGGUAGGAGACAAUACACCAGAAUUUGAGAACAUGAUUGCAGGAAUCUUACUUCUUCGUCAGAGUUCCUCAAGCAUGGAUGGAGUAAAAAUGGCCUUGGCUGCUCUUCCUGCCUAG